AGAGUUAGGGUACUAUGGUUAGGCUGCAGUUGGACUUGAUGAUUUUCAAGGUCUUUUCCAACCUGGGUAAUUCUAUGAUUCUAUGAUUCUAUAACAGGUACUGUGGGAUGACAGCGGGACAAUCACUUUUCCAUUACAUCUUACUGUGGCCCUACAGUUCAGCUUUUAAGCAUACAUAGUUUUCAGUGCAGUUUUCUUUUCAGGCCCCACAUUCCUCAGACAGGCCUGCAUCUUGCACACAACAGAGACAGAACUGGUAUCCAAAAGUAUAAAUCAACUUUGGAAAAGAUUUAAGGAGCUGUUUGAUCAGCUUCUUUGGGGUGGUUUCUUACAGUUUAUCUUGUAAUGUUCUGAUUAGUGAAGAAGUCUUCCAGUGUUUCAUAAGUAAAGAAAAUCACUAACAAGACAAUAAUCAUAAAAGAAUUAUUGAGGAUACAUUUAAGGUACUGGAGACCUGAUCAGCUGUCACGUUCAUACCGACUUCUGCGGAUGUGAGACUGAACUCAGUGUGAAUGGGGAUAUUUCUUUUUCUCUACAAAACCCAACUGGAGCUGUGAGAAGGUAUGUAGGAAUUUCUCGUUUGUAGCAGUGUUGUCAUUGUGCUUUCAGAGUAACGAGAACAAAAUCUGAAGCGCUGUCAGAUGUUUCACGUGUCAGAUAUGCCAUAUUUCUCAGUAGAGAAACCUCUCAGGGUACAUCAGUACCCCUUUUUCUUAGUUUUGCUUUCAACAUUUGCAAUCCUAGUUUAACACUUUUGCCUUUUGGUCAUAUGGUAAAAUACGUUCAGUCCUGUUUACAUGUGUUUUUUCCAGCUUCUCAUUCUACCUGAAUUUCUAAUGCAAGCAGCAUCUGAUUUCUGUGACCUGGAUCCCGUGCUCCAAUCAUAUGUGCCAAAACAUGAAGUUGUUCUUGAUUUCUCCUUGGGUGUGCAAAGUUCACUGUAUCCCCUGACAUUAAAAACCAAUUCCUGGCCAAAUAUGAAUCAUACUUAUCCUCUUCUCCAGCUGAGGCUCGUACAGAUCCGGCACCUCAUGUUGUUUGCUCAUCUGCUUGUAGGCUGAUACUGUCCUGCAGUCAUCACAGGACUGGCACAGAACGCUCCCUCUGCAUCAUCACUAAACAUUGGGAGGAAUUUGGAAAGCACGUAGAACCCAUUGACAGCAGUGGACCCGAGUGCUCUGUCAUGUGAACAAUGCUGCGUGCCAGCUGUGGCUGAGGGGCGUAUACGAACAAGAAGAAAGAGCACAGAAGAGUUCACAAGAAUGAAUAAUGUAUGCGUAAAUGGAAGAACUACUUUGGAAAUAUGUUUGUACUCACCCCCUCCUUCUUUCAGAUGCUUUCUAGUGUAAUGUCUGUGGAAGGGUCACAACUCAAAUGCAGUGUAUUCGCAUAUUUCCAUCUCCAUAGGUCUGUACAAGUGUUGAUGCUCUCAGACACCAAGGUGAGAUAUCUUUAAAGGCACAUACAUGCGUAUACUGUGAGGUAGACUGAAAAAGUAUAAGAGCAAAAACUAAGUGAUGUCGUCCCAUUCUCCUUUUGCUAUUUGUCUGUUGUGACACUAAUGUGGGUCUGUCCUCUUCCUCAAGGAUGAAACAGAUACAGGCAGAAUUCUGGAGAAACCGUUGUUACAGUCAAGAAAGGAUAAUUUCCAUUGUGCACAUGAGCCAAUGCAUGCUGAGAUACAUGAAGAGCAUCAACGAUGGAAUCAAAUAUCUUGGCUAUGAUGACACACAAAGUCAACAACAGUUUCCACAAGUGCUGGAGACAUCCAAACCAAACCUGAGGUUGCGCUGUUCAGCCAGGUGAAGGGGACUUCAGAAUCAACAGGGAGACAGAAAAACCCACUGCUCAUCUUCAGAGGUUUCACAGAAAACUGUCCCGUAGCAAAAAUGAAACUGAGUAUUAACGUCCAAGUCUAAUCAAACUAAGAAAUACCCUCUCCCAUGUCCAACAACACAUUUUCACCAGUUAUAUUUUACUCUAUUUUUAACCAAUGGAAAAAUGUAAAAUAAAAGUCAUACAAUCCUAACCAGUCAGCAGUGACUGAGUUGAAAGGCUACAGAAUUCUAGGGGGACAUCCUAAGCACUCAGUUUGGAUUUCUAUUGAGUAGCCUGUCAAAAGGAUGGAAAUAAGUCACGUCUCCAUUUACAUACUUGCAAGAUUAUCAGAAUUUAAGACCUGUUGUAGUUCUGAGGAACAGAAGCAGUAAUUCUAUUGCUCCAUGCAUUUACUCCUGUCUUCACAGUAUCAAAAGCGGCUUCCUCCAAAGACCUGAAGUGCAUAAUGGAACUCUGCAUGGGAGUAAUGUGUGAAACAGACCAUCUUCCUGAACUUCGAAGGAUAUGGCAGAAAAGUGACAUUAAAGAACACAAAACGAAGACUCAGAAGCACAAGACGAGUUAUGGAAAGUAGAUCCUAAUCUUGGAUUCAAACAAACGGACAUUGUGUAAAACGUAUUUAGAGAUGAGACACAGGACUUGACUUGGAAUCUGUAACAGUCUCUUAUUGCUACAGGGUGCCCUUAAAUCUGCCCCAUGACUUUUAUAUGAUCAGUGUUUCUCUCUUCCUCCCUUUAACUUGCGCACCCAAUUGCCGGCUUAACGUUUUGUUCUAUAACCUUUUCCUAAGUAAAAAGAUCAUCUCAUACUCAGUAAAUGAAACACGUGGCUUUCCCUGCAUGCCUCACAACUGUUCGCUUCAGGAAAAAACAAGUAUGAGUUCCAGAUAAAGCAUCAGAAUGAAAUAAACACAGAAGCAAUGCGCCUCUGGGGAGUAAGAAAACACCCCAGAGCUGAUUAUGUUUGCUAGAACAUUGAACAUGGACUCAUCGAAUUGAUUAAUUCUGUCAUAACAGCAAAUCAUUAAACCAUAAAGGAGAAAAUCCAAUAUUCUUUAUAGCGCUAGGAGUCUAUCUUUAAAAAAUCAAAGUAAUAUUGGCUCUAGAAAAUCCUUGUUGCUUUACCAUAUUAAUAUUUUGAGCAGGACUUUGAUGUCAAGAAUGCUAUAGUAAUAAAAAUACAGCCAUUGCAAUGGUAA